rnacentral:rRNA from 1 species
CCUACGGGUGGCAGCAGUGGGGAAUAUUGGGCAAUGGGCGCAAGCCUGACCCAGCGACGCCGCGUGAAGGAAGAAGGCUUUCGGGUUGUAAACUUCUUUUCUGAGGGACGAAGAAAGAGACGGUACCACAGGAAUAAGCCACGGCUAACUACGUGCCAGCAGCCGCGGUAAUACGGAGGUGGCAAGCGUUGUCCGGAUUUAUUGGGUGGAAGGGGGGUGUAGGCGGGAAAGUAAGUCAGAUGUGAAAACCCAGGGCUCAACCCUGGGACUGCAUAUGAUACUGUUUGUCUUGAGUGCUGGAGAGGCAAUCGGAAUUCCGUGUGUAGCGGUGAAAUGCGUAGAUAUACGGAGGAACACCAGUGGCGAAGGCGGAUUGCUGGACAGUAACUGACGCUGAGGCGCGAAGGCGUGGGGAGCAAACAGGAUUAGAUACCCGGGUAGUC